GAAGGGGUAAACAGAUGAUCAGUUGUUUAUUUUUCGUUUACUGUGGUUUAACCGUUUAACCUCACUUAACUAGAUAGAUCGAGAAAUAUUAAAUUACUAUUACUAUUAUUCAGGUUGAAAAAUGCCUUCCUGUAAGGUAAAAGGUUGCGAAGUCGAUUGGGGAAAAAUAAUGUGAAAAUGAAUUCUUUCCCAAAAGAAUCUGAACGACGGAAAGUGUGGAUUAAAAAUAUAGGGUUAAAACAAGAUCCAAACAAAUAUGCUGUUGUUUGUGAAGUAAGUUCUUCAAGUAAAAUUAAUUGAGUAUUUGCAUUUGAUGCAUUCUCUUUAUAAUAUUUAUAUCAUUAAAAAAUAUUGUAUUCAAUUUUUGAAUGUUUAGGAACACUACUUCUGACAUGUGGAAAAAAGUUAGACAAGAUGGCAGCAGAAAAUUAAAAUGCAAUGCUGUACAACAAUAUUUAGAGAAGAAAGCGAAAGUAUUUAAUUAUUUAUAUUGGUUUUUUGUUUAUUCACCAAUUUAACACCUAUAGAUAUUUGUAUAACAAGAGAGCGAAGUGCACCUUUUCCUCCCAAGAAUAAAGUUUACUAGUUUACUACAGUAAUCAUUCAAGGGAGGAAAAGGCACUUCUCCCAUGUUAUACAUUUUUCCACCUCCCUCAAAUAAGUCAUUUUUUCAUUUUUAAAAUAUUUAUAUAACUGUUGAUUGAAUACAUGAAUCAUAAUUGAAUACAGGAAUUUGUGUAUUCAAUCAACAAUAGAAUUAACAAAAUUUAUUAGAGAACUAAAACUAACAAGUAGGUACAGUAUAACUAUCAAAUUAUUAAUGAAAAAUUUUUAAAUCAAAAUAACAAUUUACUGUUUUUACCAUUUUGCAACAUCUAUAAAUAAAAUUUAAAAUGUAUGGAUACUUACCUAAUAGAAAAUAGAGUAAUAGUAUAGGGUGUCAAUAAGUUAUUUCAUCUAUGCUAUGACAUAGUAUGACGUCAACAUCACUUUUACUUUUACUCCCUAGGGAUUAAAAGUACUUUGUUUCCCUAGGGAGAAAAAAAUAUGACUAUGCUCCCUACAAUAAGGCCAGGAAAUGUAUACUUUGGAUAGAGGUAGGUGGGAAAAUCUGUUUUAUUCAGUUAUUGUGAUUUGUUUCUUACAGACAAUCGGUUUGUUCUAGCACGAGUUUCAAACGGUCUGAAACCAUUAGCGAAUAGUGGACCAGCGCGAGUAGAGGGGAUAGCACUCGUAACUGUAUUAUGUUCUCUCACUGACCAACUGUUUGCUGACUAGUUCGACUGUUUGCUAGAACAAACCUAUUAUUCAAACAAAAUGUCCUCUACGUCAGACUGAUCAGAAUUUUAAAAAUGAGUCAUAUCAAUCAAAUCAAAAAAUUUCAAAAAUUGUUCCUGUAACCAUUUUUAGUGGAAAUAAUAACAGUACUUAUAUUGGAUCAGAGAGCCACCCAAUUCAUUGUUAAAGUAUGAUAAACUAAAAGUUAAACAAUUAGGCAUGCACUUCAUAUUAUAUUUAAUGAAAUAUAACCCACUGGUACUCGUACAAACUUGACGGCAAGCAAAUUCAACAAAUUUUUCCUCAUUUAUUAGUUUUUCACUACCGUUAAGUUUGGAAACAAGCGCUGUUGCCAAAUAAAAACAUAUACAGUCAGAAAAAUGAAAGAAUACCCAUGAACGAUCACAUCAAUCACAUAUUUUGUAUUUGCUGUUUUUUUUUUCAUAAAUAAUAAAUGAGAGAGAUAGAUUAUUAAUAAUCUGAAUAAUAUGUGAUUGAUGUGAUCGUUCAUGGGUAUUCUUUCAUUUUUUCGACAGUAUGUAUUUACCACAGCAACUACAGGUGACACUGUUUCUCUUUGUCUUUAAGAGUGUGAAACAAAGAUAACUACAGUGGGAAAAAUAAAGAAUACCCAUGAACGAUCACAUCGAUCACUUAUUUUGUGUUUCCUAUCUUUUUCUAUAACAAACAUUUAUUAUUUAUAGAAAAAGACAACAAACAUAAAUUAAGUGAUUGAUGUGAUCGUUCAUGGGUAUAGGGCUUUUCAUCGAUUGUCAUUUGUUUCGAGCUUCUGUCAUGUGUCACAUAAUAUUAAUAUAUCUACGUCAUACGUCUUUGGUUUGUAUCAUGGGUAUAUACCAAUAACGUAUGACGUAGAUAUAUUAAUAUUAUGUGACACAUGACAGAAGCUCGAAACAAAUGACUGUGAAUGAAAAGCCCUAUUCUUUCAUUUUUCCAACUGUAUCUGUAAUAUACGCUGAGCUCGUAGGUAGAGGGGAUAAUUAAAAAAUCGCGAGAGCCAGUAGUGACAAGUCUGUAAACCUUUACUGGAAAUUUGACAUAAAUGUCAAAGUGAAUAAUUUAAAAUUGAAAUUAAAAACAUUAAUUAGAAAAAAUAUUAGUUGGUCAAAGCUGUGGUAUAUAUUUUUAUCUUAAGUAUACUUACGGUUUAAAUACUGAAUUAAGUUUUUUUAAUAUUUUGUAAUACCUAUCUAAUUAUAAUUAGAUAUAAAUCAUCUAAGCGCCAUCUACACGAUAAUUGUGAAUGUAUCUGAAGUAAGAAAUUAAUAUUUCAUUAAGAGAACGUUAAAACAGUUAGCAAAAUUUUUAAAAAAUCGAUUACAAUUUAAUUACUUUUUUGCAUUGUAAAUAUUAAGCGAUAACAAUUAAAUCAUAAAUUUAAAAAUUACUGGUGAAAGUUGAAUUAGUAAUCCGCUAGGAGCGACACCAGCGAAGCUCAGAGCGUAUAAGUGGGUGCAUUUGGACGACCAUAGUGGCUGACUGUCAGCAGAAAUCGGCUGAGUGGUUGUAUCCAGCUGUGACAGGGAAAGCUUAGUAAAUCUCUCAGCGGCUGACUUCCAACGGUGACGUCUGACAGCUACUGCUGGCUCAGCUGUCCAGCCGCUGUGGUCAUCCGAACGCACCCAGUGUCAGUCAUGUUUUCCUGUAGUAUAAAAGGCUUAGAUAGAAGGUUAUGUAAGAUUUUUGUUUGUUUAUUUUUUCUUCUUCUUCUGUGGCCUUUGGAAGCUGUGCCCAUUUAGCCAGCAACAUUUCUUAAAAUUAAUGCCUAACUAAACCUACCAUACAAGAAAACCAUUAUGAACCUAAACGACCAAUCAAGGAUACGGAAGGGAAAGUAAAGUUAUUUAAAAAAUAAACUGUUGUUAAAAUAUAAACUAAAUAAAUAAAAUAUAAAUUGAAAACAAUAAUUUGACAUUAUAAAUGUAACCUCCAAUAUUAUGACAGACGUCAGUUACCAUGACAUCAUAUAUUAUACUCAUCGCUAAUUCUAGCCAAUGAAAUGCUUGCUGUAAUAGGAAUGGCAUAUCAAAAAAAUCUGACUAUUCUCUAUAUAUUUUUUCAAAUUUAGAAUAUGGCAACAAGGGGAAAGUUAUGUGCAUUCCUCAUUGUUUGACUUUUCCUAUAUCUUUAGUAUCAGGUCAUCGUACAAUACAAAUACUUCUUGCAAUGAUUGGAAGUAAUGCAGAACAAGAAUUGAAUUUGGAAUCGCCGAGAAAAAGGAUUGGUGUACAAAAUAAGAAAGUAUAUAAAGGACAACAAACAUCUUCCAUAAGCGAUCAAAAUUGUAUAACUGAAAUUCAGGAAAUAGAUUCUGCUCCACCUUUAGAAAAACUGUAAAUAGUAACGAUUUUGAAUGAGUGAGAAGUCUAAUAAAGCCACGACGAGAUACUGUAUUAGAGCGUACGAUUUGGAGGUAUUUUUGAUUAGAUACAUUUUGUAAAGUACAAUAUAAAUUAGAUUUGAUAAUGUGUAGUAUUUCCUAAUAAAUUAAAUACUAUUAAGUGUUUAUUGUUCUUGUAAGUUAGUGUGGUAAAUAAAUAAUAUGAAGUAAG
rnacentral:misc_RNA from 1 species